rnacentral:rRNA from 1 species
AACGAACGCUGGCGGCAUGCCUAACACAUGCAAGUCGAACGAUUGCCUUCGGGUGAUAGUGGCGCACGGGUGCGUAACGCGUGGGAAUCUGCCCUUAGGUUCGGAAUAACAGCUGGAAACGGCUGCUAAUACCGGAUGAUAUCGCGAGAUCAAAGAUUUAUCGCCUGAGGAUGAGCCCGCGUUGGAUUAGGUAGUUGGUGGGGUAAAGGCCUACCCAGCCGACGAUCCAUAGCUGGUCUGAGAGGAUGAUCAGCCACACUGGGACUGAGACACGGCCCAGACUCCUACGGGAGGCAGCAGUGGGGAAUAUUGGACAAUGGGCGCAAGCCUGAUCCAGCAAUGCCGCGUGAGUGAUGAAGGCCCUAGGGUUGUAAAGCUCUUUUACCCGGGAAGAUAAUGACUGUACCGGGAGAAUAAGCCCCGGCUAACUCCGUG